rnacentral:rRNA from 1 species
GAUGAACGCUGGCGGCGUGCCUAACACAUGCAAGUCGAACGGAGAUUACGGACGGAAGUUUUCGGAUGGAAGCCUGUAAUUCUUAGUGGCGGACGGGUGAGUAACGCGUGGGCAACCUGCCCUAUACAGGGGGAUAGCAGCUGGAAACGGCUGGUAAGACCGCAUAAGUCGGUUAAAUCGCAUGAUUUGAUCGGGAAAUGAGCAAUCAGGUAUGGGAUGGGCCCGCGUCCGAUUAGCCAGUUGGCAGGGUAAAAGCCUACCAAAGCGACGAUCGGUAGCCGGACUGAGAGGUCGGACGGCCACAUUGGGACUGAGACACGGCCCAAACUCCUACGGGAGGCAGCAGUGGGGGAUAUUGCACAAUGGAGGAAACUCUGAUGCAGCGACGCCGCGUGAGUGAAGAAGUAUUUCGGUAUGUAAAGCUCUAUCAGCAGGGAAGAUGAUGACGGUACCUG